UGAAUGGCUGAGAAGCACUUAAAGAAAUGUUCAUCAUCCUUAGUCAACGGGGAAAUGCAAAUCAAAACAACCCUGAGAUCCCACCUCAAGCCAGUCAGAAUGGCUAAGAUCAAAAACUCAGACAGCAGAUGCUGGCGAGGAUGUGGAGAAAGAGGAACACUCCUCCAUUGUUGGUGGGAUUGCAACCUGGUACAACCACUCUGGAAAUCAGUCUGGAGGUUCCUCAGAUAAUUGGACACAGUAUUACCUGAGGAUCCAGCUAUAUGUGGUAACUCCUGGGCAUACACCCAAGAGAGGUUCCAAAAUAUAACAAGGAUACAUGCUCCACUACGUUUAUAGCAGUGGGGGUGGGGAGGGAGGUUAGGACCAGGUAUUGGAAGGGACUGGAGAGAGAAGUACAGAGAAUCAGAAAAUUGAAUAGAAAUGUAGCAGAGGGGCAUGAGGACUGGGGUAGCCACUAGAAAUUCCCAUACCCCAGGGAAGCAAGAGGCUCCCAGGAGCCAAUGUAAAUGACUUUUCUCAAAAUAUGGAACAAAGGGGAGAGACAACCUGUAGAGAUCACUUCCAGUAGCUAGGCACAACCCCCACUUGAGGGAUGGGGCCACCCACGUAUCUUAAAAUCUUUAACCCAGAAGUGUUCCUAUCCAAAGGAAAGACGGGGACAAAAAAAAAAAAAA
rnacentral:lncRNA from 1 species